rnacentral:ribozyme from 1 species
AAAUAUAAAAACUAAAAAGGGAAAAAUAAGGAAAAGAAAAAGAACAGGAAUAAAAGAAUUUGAAGAUAAUGACAAGGAAGAUAGAAUCCUUUGUCUCUAGAAUGCCUUUUUUCUUCUCUUUAAUUCUCUUUUAUUUCAUCUAAAAUGUAUUAUCUUAUUAUCAA